UACAGAGGUCCCGAGCGUUGUUCGGAUUCAUUGGGCGUAAAGGGUGCGUAGGCGGCUUCCUAAGUUUGAUGUGAAAUCCCUGGGGCUCAACCCUGGAACUGCAUUGAAUACUGGGGAGGCUAGAGUACUGGAGAGGAAACUGGAAUUUACGGUGUAGCAGUGAAAUGCGUAGAGAUCGUAAGGAAGACCAGUGGCGAAGGCGAGUUCUGGACAGUUACUGACGCUGAGGCACGAAGGCCAGGGGAGCAACGGG
rnacentral:rRNA from 1 species